AAGGGAGACCUAAUUCCGGUAGGAGACGAAAAAAAAGUAGUCCCUACCAAGAAUCAAUCCCAAAAGGUCGGAACGAGGUAUGAGGCUUUCAAACUAGGUUCUGGGUUCAUAAAAGACCUGAAUCAGGAACAAGGGCUAUUAGCUCAGGUGGUUAGAGCGCACCCCUGAUAAGGGUGAGGUCCCUGGUUCGAGUCCAGGAUGGCCCACCUGCACAGGUGGCAAAAACAAGAGAAGCGAGGAAUCAGCACCUUAUCUUAUAUACAUAUAUAAGAGAGAAUGCUGGCUCUGAGUACAGAGUCCAGAGGAACCUUGAAAACUGCAUAGAGCUAGGUGAAAAAGCCAAAAAAGAAGACCGCAAGGUCAAGCUAAUAAGGGCUAACGGUGGAUACCUAGGCAC
rnacentral:tRNA from 1 species